rnacentral:ribozyme from 1 species
AAAGGCUCUGUAUGCUCAGCUUCGCACCUCAAUCUCCCCAGAUGCUUCUGAAGGGGCCAACCUUCACCUUUCCUCUGUGUUCACCUCAUUUG